UCUGGGAUUAGAUACCCCACUAUACCUUUUUCUAACACAUAAACACCAAAGAAAUAUUACUAAAAAUUAAAACUUAAAGGAUUUGGCGGUUUUUUAAACCUAAUCGGAGGAGCUUGUUGUUGAAUUGAUAAUCCACAAGUAACCUUACCAUUCCUAGAAAAAUUACAGCUUGUAUACCAUCGUAGUUGUUAACCUUAAAGAGGUAAUACAAAAAGAAAAAUUUAAUCAAAACAUCAGAUCAAGGUGCAGCCAAUGGAAUGGCAACUAAUGAGCUACUUUAUUAAUAAAAACCAGAGGAAGUAAUAAUUAAAUCUUUACGGAAAAAGGAUUCGAUAGUAAUUUUAUAUAGAAAUAUAAAAUGAAUUAAGCUCUAAAACGUGUACACACCGCCCGUCACCCUCC
rnacentral:rRNA from 1 species